rnacentral:lncRNA from 1 species
CGCUCUUGGCUGGUGAGGCCGGAGCUGCUGCGGGGCUGCGCGCUGGGCGGCGGCGGCGGCGGCGGCGGCGGCUACAAUGGGGCUUCUGUGUGUGUGUGUGCAGCUGCAGCCGCCGCUGCCUCCCGCGGGGACCCAGGGAGGGAAAGUAGGAGGAAUAGCGCCCCCCCCCCAAUUCCCUUCCCUAAGCCCGCCAAGACCCUCCCCACCUCCUUCUCCAAAAGUAACGGGCGGGGAAGCGAGCGGCCGCACGCCUCCUGCCCGUCCUACCCUGGCCUUUUUUUUCUUUUUCGUCUUUGUUUCCUUCCGGUUUGUUUUAAAAUAAGCCCCCUCUUCUCCCCUAGAACUCCAUCCCAUCCCACCUCUCAUUGUUAUCUUCACUUUUCCCUCACUUUCCGCUCGCCUUGCUCCGCUCACUCCCAUUACAGAGAAGAGAGAAGGGGAAUCCCGGCCUACUUUCAUUUCCGGAUGGGGGCGACCUCUUUGUGCGAACCAGGGAGCGUGACCCGCACAUCUGGUGCACAUCUGGGGAUGCGGCUGCGAGAGGGAACGCGGCGGCGGGGGCAACAUCGGCGGAGAAGACUACAGAGCAUCAGGGCGGGUGGGAGGCCCUGGCAGCUCUUCCCCCCUACCCCUUGGAAACCGCCAUUCACCACUAUGUGAAGAAAGAAACUUCUCUUACACGACUGAAUCGAGUUCACCUCCUGAGAGGAAAAGAUUAA